rnacentral:rRNA from 1 species
UACGUAGGGUGCAAACGUUGUUCGGAAUUACUGGGCGUAAAGCGCGUGUAGGCUGCCCCGCAAGUCGGAUGUGAAAGCCCUGGGCUCAACCUAGGAAGUGCAUUCGAAACUGCGGGGCUGGAGUCCUGGAGAGGAAGGCGGAAUUCUCGGUGUAGAGGUGAAAUUCGUAGAUAUCGAGAGGAACACCGGUGGCGAAGGCGGCCGUCUGGACAGUGACUGACGCUGAGACGCGAAAGCGUGGGGAGCAAACAGG